AUGGUUAAGUUAGAAAGGGCGCACGGUGAAUGCCUUGGCACUAGGAGCCGAUGAAGGACGGGACUAACACCGAUAUGCUUCGGGGAGCUGUAAGUGAGCUUUGAUCCGGAGAUUUCCGAAUGGGGAAACCCACUGUUCGUAAUGGAACAGUAUCUUUAUCUGAAUACAUAGGAUAUUGAAGGCAGACCCGGGGAACUGAAACAUCUAAGUACCCGGAGGAAGAGAAAGCAAAUGCGAUUUCCUGAGUAGCGGCGAGCGAAACGGAAUUAGCCCAAACCAAGAGGCUUGCCUCUUGGGGUUGUAGGACACUCUAUACGGAGUUACAAAGGAACGAAGUAAAUGAAGCGACCUGGAAAGGUCCGUCGAAGAAGGUAACAACCCUGUAGUUGAAACUUCGUUCCCUCUUGAGUGGAUCCUGAGUACGGCGGAACACGUGAAAUUCCGUCGGAAGCUGGGAGGACCAUCUCCCAAGGCUAAAUACUACCUAGUGACCGAUAGUGAACCAGUACCGUGAGGGAAAGGUGAAAAGCACCCCGGAAGGGGAGUGAAAGAGAUCCUGAAACCGUGUGCCUACAAGUAGUCAGAGCCCGUUAAUGGGUGAUGGCGUGCCUUUUGUAGAAUGAACCGGCGAGUUACGAUCCCAUGCAAGGUUAAGCUGAUAAGGCGGAGCCGUAGCGAAAGCGAGUCUGAAUAGGGCGUUUAGUAUGUGGUUGUAGACCCGAAACCAGGUGAUCUACCCAUGUCCAGGGUGAAGUUCAGGUAACACUGAAUGGAGGCCCGAACCCACGCACGUUGAAAAGUGCGGGGAUGAGGUGUGGGUAGCGGAGAAAUUCCAAUCGAACCUGGAGAUAGCUGGUUCUCUCCGAAAUAGCUUUAGGGCUAGCCUCAUGUUGUGAGAGUCUUGGAGGUAGAGCACUGAUUGGACUAGGGGCCCCCAACGGGUUACCGAAUUCAGUCAAACUCCGAAUGCCAAAGACUUAUCCAUGGGAGUCAGACUGCGAGUGAUAAGAUCCGUAGUCAAAAGGGAAACAGCCCAGACCACCAGCUAAGGUCCCCAAGUAUACGUUAAGUGGAAAAGGAUGUGGAGUUGCUUAGACAACCAGGAUGUUGGCUUAGAAGCAGCCACCAUUUAAAGAGUGCGUAAUAGCUCACUGGUCGAGUGACUCUGCGCCGAAAAUGUACCGGGGCUAAACGUAUCACCGAAGCUGUGGAUUGACAUCUUAGAUGUCAGUGGUAGGAGAGCGUUCUAAGUGCAGCGAAGUCAGACCGUAAGGACUGGUGGAGCGCUUAGAAGUGAGAAUGCCGGUAUGAGUAGCGAAAGACAAGUGAGAAUCUUGUCCACCGAAUGCCUAAGGUUUCCUGAGGAAGGCUCGUCCGCUCAGGGUUAGUCGGGACCUAAGCCGAGGCUGAAAAGCGUAGGCGAUGGCCAACAGGUUGAUAUUCCUGUACCACCUCCCCGCCGUUUGAGUAAUGGGGGGACGCAGUAGGAUAGGGUAAGCGCGCUGCUGGAUAUGCGCGUUCAAGCAGUUAGGCUGAUGAGUAGGCAAAUCCGCUCAUCAUAAAGGCUGAGCUGUGAUGACGAGGGAAUUAUAGUACCGAAGUUCCUGAUUCCACACUGCCAAGAAAAGCCUCUAGCGAGGCGGGAGGUGCCCGUACCGCAAACCGACACAGGUAGGCGAGGAGAGAAUCCUAAGGUGAUCGAGAGAACUCUCGUUAAGGAACUCGGCAAAAUGACCCCGUAACUUCGGGAGAAGGGGUGCUCUGGUAGGGUGUAUAGCCCGAGAGAGCCGCAGUGAAUAGGCCCAGGCGACUGUUUAGCAAAAACACAGGUCUCUGCGAAGCCGCAAGGCGAAGUAUAGGGGCUGACGCCUGCCCGGUGCUGGAAGGUUAAGAGGAGGGGUUAUCCUUUGGGAGAAGCUCUGAAUCGAAGCCCCAGUAAACGGCGGCCGUAACUAUAACGGUCCUAAGGUAGCGAAAUUCCUUGUCGGGUAAGUUCCGACCCGCACGAAAGGCGUAACGAUCUGGGCACUGUCUCAACGAGAGACUCGGUGAAAUUAUAGUACCUGUGAAGAUGCAGGUUACCCGCGACAGGACGGAAAGACCCCGUGGAGCUUUACUGUAGCCUGAUAUUGAAUUUUGGUACAGCUUGUACAGGAUAGGUAGGAGCCUGAGAAGCCGGAGCGCUAGCUUCGGUGGAGGCGUCGGUGGGAUACUACCCUGGCUGUAUUGAAAUUCUAACCCGCGGCCCUGAUCGGGCCGGGAGACAGUGUCAGGUGGGCAGUUUGACUGGGGCGGUCGCCUCCUAAAAUGUAACGGAGGCGCCCAAAGGUUCCCUCAGAAUGGUUGGAAAUCAUUCGUAGAGUGUAAAGGCACAAGGGAGCUUGACUGCGAGACCUACAAGUCGAGCAGGGACGAAAGUCGGGCUUAGUGAUCCGGUGGUUCCGCAUGGAAGGGCCAUCGCUCAACGGAUAAAAGCUACCCCGGGGAUAACAGGCUUAUCUCCCCCAAGAGUCCACAUCGACGGGGAGGUUUGGCACCUCGAUGUCGGCUCAUCGCAUCCUGGGGCUGUAGUCGGUCCCAAGGGUUGGGCUGUUCGCCCAUUAAAGCGGUACGCGAGCUGGGUUCAGAACGUCGUGAGACAGUUCGGUCCCUAUCCGUCGUGGGCGUAGGAAAUUUGAGAGGAGCUGUCCUUAGUACGAGAGGACCGGGAUGGACACACCGCUGGUGUACCAGUUGUCUUGCCAAAGGCAUCGCUGGGUAGCUAUGUGUGGACGGGAUAAGUGCUGAAAGCAUCUAAGCAUGAAGCCCCCCUCAAGAUGAGAUUUCCCAUAGCGCAAGCUAGUAAGAUCCCUGAAAGAUGAUCAGGUUGAUAGGUCAGAGGUGGAAGCGUGGCGACAUGUGUAGCUGACUGAUACUAAUCGAUCGAGGACUUAACCAAAC
rnacentral:rRNA from 2 species